GCCAGCUAGGCUCUGUUACAGUUACACCUCUAGGUUAGUGUCUCUGCACGUUCUUUUGGCGCUUGCACCUGAGCAUAGGAGGCUGCGUUAUCCACUUGAGAGUAGAAGAGAGCUGUGCCUGAAUCCACUGUUGUCACGGAGCUAAAGGCAGUGAAUUCUGCUAAAAUGGUCAGGUUUUGGUAAAGAGGUGGAAACAUCGUGCGGAGAUCCUUUCCACGGAAUGAUACAGAUCCCCACGUUCCAGGCGUUCUCCCAGGGAUUCAUAGAUUCCCAGUCCGGGGGGCUGGGUGGCGAGCCAACCGUGUUUGUGAUUCUGACUUUAGACGGAUUGCCAGGAUCAUCAUCUUCAUCUUCAUGGUGGUAGGACAAACACUAACACGAACUAAAAAGGGCCCAACGUUGGUGACUGAACUCUUGUCAACAAAGGCAAGUGAAACUGAGGACGAACUAAGCUCAAGGGAAUUUAAAAGGGGAUUUGUUUACGUGCGCACUUUAUUUUAGUUUGUUAUUUUUUUUUCAUAACUGUUUUUGUAUAUGUAUGUACCAGCCCAUGUGUGUUUAAUACAUUUUAUGCAAAUUGUCA